ensembl:snoRNA small nucleolar RNA SNORA19
AAGCACAUUUCAUUGUCCCAUUCUCUACCUGUGAGAGAUGAGAUAUUUCUGAUGUGCCAGAUCAAUGCUGGAGGUCAAUUAGCAGAGUGGCUGCAAAGUGCCAUUCCUGCCAGUCCCCUUCGUACAGCU